rnacentral:rRNA from 1 species
AGUGAACGCUGGCGGCAGGCCUAAUACAUGCAAGUCGAACGGCAGCACAGCAGAGCUUGCUCUGUGGGUGGCGAGUGGCGGACGGGUGAGGAAUACGUGGGAAUCUGCCCAGUCGGGGGGGAUAACGUAGGGAAACUUACGCUAAUACCGCAUGCGCCCUUCGGGGGAAAGCCGGGGACCUUCGGGCCUGGCGCGAUUGGCUGAGCCCACGUCGGAUUAGCUAGUUGGCGGGGUAAAGGCCCACCAAGGCGACGAUCCGUAGCUGGUCUGAGAGGAUGAUCAGCCACACUGGAACUGAGACACGGUCCAGACUCCUACGGGAGGCAGCAGUAGGGAAUAUUGGACAAUGGGCGCAAGCCUGAUCCAGCCAUGCCGCGUGAGUGAAGAAGGCCCUCGGGUUGUAAAGCUCUUUUGUCCGGAAAGAAAAGCGCCGGGUUAAUACCCUGGUGUCCUGACGGUACCGGAAGAAUAAGCACCGGCUAACUUCGUGCCAGCAGCCGCCGUAACAC